rnacentral:rRNA from 1 species
UACGGAGGGUGCAAACGUUGCUCGGAAUCAUUGGGCGUAAAGCGCACGUAGGCGGCCUGUUAAGCCGGAUGUGAAAGCCCCGGGCUCAACCCGGGAAGUGCAUACGAAACUGGCAGGCUUGAAUAUGGAAGAGGGUCGCGGAAUUCCCGGUGUAGAGGUGAAAUUCGUAGAUAUCGGGAGGAACACCAGUGGCGAAGGCGGCGACCUGGGCCAAUAUUGACGCUGAGGUGCGAAAGCGUGGGGAGCAAACAGG